rnacentral:rRNA from 1 species
UUUUAAAUGAAAUUAUAUUUAGUAAGACCUGCUCAAUGAUUUUAAAUAGCCGCUCCUAUGUGCUAAGGUAGCGCAAUAAAUAGCCUUUUAAUUGAAGGCCAGUAUGAAGGGUUUUACAUGUGAUUAUCUUUAUUAAUUUUAUUACUUUAAUUUUUCUUUAAAGUAAAAAGACUUUAAUAAUUAAAGGGACGACAAGACCCUAUCGAGCUUUACUUUUGUUUUACUGGGAGGGUAAAAAACUAUAUCUUUUUGUUUUUUUUUUUUCUUAUCCUAGAAAAAUUAGACUAAAAAGUUACCGUAGGGAUAACAGCAUAAUUUCUUUUUAGAGACCUUUUCAUAAAAAAAGAUUAUGACCUCGAUGUUGAAUAUUUUAUCUUUUUGGAGCAAACACUAAAAAAGAAAGUCUGUUCGACUUUUAAAACAUUACA